GACGAACGCUGGCGGCGUGCCUAACACAUGCAAGUCGAGCGGGGAACGGAUGGUAGCUUGCUACUGUUUGUUUCUAGCGGCGGACGGGUGAGUAACGCGUGAGCAACCUGCCUUUAUCAGGGGGAUAACGCAUCGAAAGAUGUGCUAAUACCGCGUAAGACCACAGCUUCACAUGGAGUGGGGGUCAAAGGAGCAAUCCGGAUAAAGAUGGGCUCGCGUCCGAUUAGCUAGUUGGUGAGAUAACAGCCCACCAAGGCGACGAUCGGUAGCCGACCUGAGAGGGUGAUCGGCCACAUUGGAACUGAGAGACGGUCCAGACUCCUACGGGAGGCAGCAGUGGGGAAUAUUGGGCAAUGGGCGAAAGCCUGACCCAGCAACGCCGCGUGAGGGAAGAAGGGUUUCGGCUCGUAAACCUCUGUCCUAUG
rnacentral:rRNA from 1 species